rnacentral:rRNA from 1 species
GCUGAACGCUGGCGGCGUGCCUAAUACAUGCAAGUCGAACGAGUUCUGAUUAUUGAAAGGUGCUUGCAUCUUGAUUUAAUUUUGAACGAGUGGCGGACGGGUGAGUAACACGUGGGUAACCUGCCCUUAAGUGGGGGAUAACAUUUGGAAACAGAUGCUAAUACCCAAUAAAUCCAAGAACCGCAUGGUUCUGGGCUGAAAGAUGGCGUAAGCUAUCGCUAAUGGAUGGACCCGCGGCGUAUUAGCUAGUUGGUGAGGUAACGGCUCACCAAGGCAAUGAUACGUAGCCGAACUGAGAGGUUGAUCGGCCACAUUGGGACUGAGACACGGCCCAAACUCCUACGGGAGGCAGCAGUAGGGAAUCUUCCACAAUGGACGCAAGUCUGAUGGAGCAACGCCGCGUGAGUGACGAAGGCUUUCGGGUCGUAAAACUCUGUUGUUGGAGAAGAAUGGUCGACAGAGUAACUGUUGUCGGCGUGACGGUAUCCAACCAGAAAGCCACGGCUAACUACGUGCCAGCAGACGCGGUAAUACGUAGGUGGCAAGCGUUAUCCGGAUUUAUUGGGCGUAAAGCGAGCGCAGGCGGUUUUUUAAGUCUGAUGUGAAAGCCCUCGGCUCGACCGAGGAAGUGCAUCGGAAACUGGGAAACUUGAGUGCAGAAGAGGACAGUGGAACUCCAUGUGUAGCGGUGAAAUGCGUAGAUAUAUGGAAGAACACCAGUGGCGAAGGCGGCUGUCUGGUCUGUAACUGACGCUGAGGCUCGAAAGCAUGGGUAGCGAACAGGAUUAGAUACCCUGGUAGUCCAUGCCGUAAACGAUGAAUGCUAGGUGUUGGUGAGUUUCCGCCCUUCAGUGCCGCAG